rnacentral:rRNA from 1 species
CGCUGGCGGCGUGCUUAACACAAUGCAAGUCGAACGGUGACGAGGAGCUUGCUCCUCUGAUCAGUGGCGAACGGGUGAGUAACACGUGAGCAACCUGCCCCAGACUCUGGGAUAACAGUUGGAAACAGCUGCUAAUACCGGAUACGAGACGGAGAGGCAUCUCUACCGUCUGGAAAGUUUUUCGGUCUGGGAUGGACUCGCGGCCUAUCAGCUAGUUGGUGAGGUAAUGGCUCACCAAGGCGACGACGGGUAGCCGGCCUGAGAGGGCGACCGGCCACACUGGGACUGAGACACGGCCCAGACUCCUACGGGAGGCAGCAGUGGGGAAUAUUGCACAAUGGGCGAAAGCCUGAUGCAGCGACGCCGCGUGAGGGAUGACGGCCUUCGGGUUGUAAACCUCUUUCAGCAGGGAAGAAGCGAAAGUGACGGUACCUGCAGAAGAAGCACCGGCUAACUACGUG